rnacentral:lncRNA from 1 species
CCCGGAAUGCUACUAAACAACACUUCUGACAUCUAUAUAUAAAAUUUCGGCAGCAUCCCCCUUGCAAAAUUGCAUAAAUGAGGGGGCAACAGUGUAUAAACAUAUAUCAUGACAAAACAUACUAAGUAUUAUUAAUCAGCUAGCAAAGAGAAGUUAAACAUACGACAUGAAGCGAAUUAACUAGUGCGCACGACUAGUUAAAAAACAAACUUCCUUUGACAAUAAGUUUCUAAUUAAAUCAUGGCUGCGCAUGGGCAGCGUUAUUGUGAGAGUGAAAGUGGACGUGCUGCUACUCCCCUCAUUCCCAACAUGUAUCAAGUACCUGCAUUGAGUAAUGCAAGAGUGAGAUGACACAUCUCAGCAAGUAAAAUAAUAUCAAACUGUUUAACCACAUAAGAACAUUGUUUUACCACCACUUGAUUCCACAACCUUCUUAUUACGAAGGUGCAGCACGUAUACAACGUACAACACACCUAGUCACCACACCUCGCAGGUAGAAACCACAAUAGUAACAUAGUAAUGUCACACUUCAUAUAUACCUCAUGAGUGCAAAUGUCUGCAAAUGCAAGGAUGACUUCUGCCUUCAUACCUCUAAGGAUAUGAAGCCGCAUCGUACCCCUCAUCGGGCAACGUACGAUGCUAAAAAUGUAUCGGUACGGUCGGACCAUAAGAUCACGACAUAACUUCAAAAUGCAAGAUGGAUGAUGCGAUGUGCAUGUCAUGCCUACAACACUUCAUAUAACAUGAUUCAAAAAGACACUUCAACUUCAUCCAGAUGGGAAUCAACCACAUAUAUCAUUACCAAAUUAUGAUCAUCCACAAUAUUAGACAAUUGAGAAUUAAUACUUCCCAACAAAUAAACUUCAUCAUAGAAUUCAAUGAUUAACGUAAUUAAAACUUAUGCAUACUCAAUGACAGGGAAUAGGAUGCAAACCAAACGGUAGCAACCACCACUGUAUUUACUUGCCUUUACCGGAAGUUCGGGCAAAUCCCAAGUACGAUCCGGAAGCCCACCACCUGUUUUUGACACCCAACUUAGUACACCAAUUUCACAUAAUCAGGCUCAUAAGCGACGCCGCACCUACGCACAAACUCAAACCCCGCCGCGGGUUACAUCUCUCCCUACACCCACCAAACUGCAGCGGCGCUGCUUAAUAAUUUCAUAACUUUAAAAUUAUGACAGCAGUGGUAACAAACAAAAACUCCAGAGGCAUCUACAUAAAAUUCCCCACAAGUUUUGUAUACAAUUUAUAAUUAAAUUCCAAUAUCUAAUUAGCCCAAAACAGUCCACAAGAUGAACUCUGUAAUCUGUUUUUUUCUUUGUCUUUUGGACAGCGACAUACCCAGAUUCAAACAGCGAUAUCUUUUAAAAUAUAAUUCCAAAUCAAGCGCAUAAGUACUCAUUGGAAAGAUAAGACAAAUCCCUACAUGAUUACCAUACUGGUUAACACUAAUUACCCACGAAAAAUUCCCAGAAACUGCUAAUACCACUGCUGUUCACCCACCUGAAAAAUCUGUUUUUUUUGGACAGCAACAUAACCGGAUUCAAACAACGAUAUCUCCUGAAUUAUAACUCCGAAUCGAGCGCAUAAGUACUUGUUGGAAAGAUAACAUAAAGCCCUACAUGAUUCUCAUACUGAUUAACACUAAUUACUCCCGAAAAAUCCCCAGAAACUGCUAAUACUGCUGCUGUUCAUCCCCCUGAAAAAUCUGUUUUUUUGGACAGCCACAUACCCGGAUUCAAACGGUGAUAACUUUCAAUUUAUAACUCCAAAUUGAGCGCAUAAAUACUCGUUGGAAAGGUAAGGUAAAGUUCUACAUGAUCCCCAAACUGAUUUCGCUUAAUUCCUCACGAAAAAAACACAGAAACUGCUAGACUACUGCUGUUCACCCACCACCUAAAAUUCUGGACAGCCCCCCUCUACCCCAAUCGCAAACGCAACCUCUAAUCAAUUAAAUUGCAGCGCAAAUGAACAAGGGAUGAACACAAAAAUCACCUUGGAUUCUCCCCCUUUCCUUCCUCCCUUCUUCCCUCCACCAAAACGAUUGAAGACUCGCACCACGACGACGAUGAUCCGAGCGGCAAGGAUUGGCACCUUGGGAGGAGGGAAUUGAGAGGGGGGCGGCUAGGGUUUGGUGGCUGCAAGAAUUGAGAGAGGAGGAGAUGGGCAGGGGAGGCGGCCAAGGGGGAAGAGAAGUGGGGGGGCGGCUGCACAUGGGGGGACGGGGUUAGGAGGGAGGCGGCUAGGGUUUGGGAGGGUUAAUGGCCCGAAACUCCAAUUGCGGCCCAACUAACCCACGCGACAGCUCCCGACCGCAACGCAAGCGUCAAACCAAAUAAAUUCCACUGCCCUAGUUGUGAAUGUUUUCCACAAAAUCCCAAAUCCCCAAAACAACAACCGGAUGAGGAAAAAAAACAAAAAGAACAACCCCCAACUUCUCUUCUUUGCAAACCGGGUAUCACACUCUACCCCUCUUAAAAAGAAUUCGACCUCGAAUUCUGACGCUUCUAUCGGAACAACAAAAGAAAGGUUAAUGAAUCAACAAAACUCACACAUAAGGAAAAGUUCGAGUACUUCUGUCGUAUCAGCUCCUCAAGCUCCUAGGAUUCUAAGAUACGCAGCAGACGACACUCUAGAGUCUGCUCUUGCUACACAGGAAUCGGCUCUAGCUCGAUUUGAUGGUCUGGAUUCCGCAAAUACUUCCUCAACAAAAAGACAUGGAAUACUUGGUGUACUCUGAUCAUAGAUUCCGACAAUUACAUGUGCUAAGCCCAGCUGCCAACUCGGCCAAGAUAGCAGACGGUCCUAUAUACCUCGGACCAAGCUUUCCUGACACCAAAUCAAUAUUGACACAUGCAAGUACUUCAAUGAAUAUAUAUAUGAAUGCAAUACAUACUGUGCUCAAAUAGCCUAAACCAAACCUAUCCAAACAAGAGUAACUUCAAAAGAUCAAUUUAAUGCUUGCAUAUUUCUAGACAGCAGCACAACAGUUAUUUGUUUUCCUCAUAACUCACAAAAUAUGCAUCCAGUAGAAGUAAACUAGGACUUUAUGGAAAGCUUACAAAGUCCACUAUACCCUUGGUAUUAUCAUCACCACAAGAUUUGACCCUUAGAAAGGCCAAACAAUGUGAAACAUAAAUUUUGUUGAGACUUGAACAGAAUUCAACUACUCACUUCAAAAAUCCAUAAUUGGAGUCUCAGUUAUCCCAUUCAGGCGCUCCUAGACUUUUUAGAAAGCUAGUAAAAUUGUCUAUAUUUCAUUUAUAAACCUAUUAGGUUAAUUCAAUGAAUAUCAAGAUCAAAAGACAUAAGAAAGACUUUUCUGUCCAAAUUUGGACAGAUUCAAAGAUUCCAAUUAAAACAGAUGUAGCUUAACUUAUAGGUCACCAAAAAGGGUGAUCCAAAAUUUUUUGGAAAGCUUAAGGAAAGUACUACCACUUCUUUAUAAUUUAUAAGAACUGAUUCGAAGUUUAACUUGGGCAAACAAGGUCAGUUUCGAAAUCUGUACAGAAUCUGGACAGAUUCCAAGACUAGACUUGAGAAAAUCAUAACUCCCAAACUACUAGACCUAUGGUCAUGAAAUUUUACACAAGUAAGAUGAAGAAGUUGACUACAACUUUUUAUAUACAACACCUCUACCGAAAACAUGGUAUCCAUUGAACUAGCGGCAUAACCAAAACUGGUCAUGUAGUCCCAAACAGCAAGCAAUAGAUUUAUUCAGGUUCUAUACUCUUCUAAGAUUAAGCGUUCAUCGAAGGACUAAUAACUUUAGGUUCUUCAUUAUGAGACACUUAGAGCCAACAUAAGGGUAGAAGCAAUAUUCUUACUUUUUAAAUCAUUUUAAGCCUGAUCUCACAUCAUGCAAGCAAGAAUCAAUUUAAGUAUAUUAUGCCUGCCCAUAUAUCCAUCCAAUAACUCAGACAAUCUGCAUCUCCACCUAGACUUCACACGACGUAACUAUUUCAUACUUAUGCAAACACGCCAAGACCAGAAAACAUGGCUUCACAACAAUACAUACUGGCCUAUUCAAAUAUCCCUCGCUAUCUGUCUGUUGCAGCCCACGCUCCACAUAUACAGUAACAAGAUAACUAUCACAAUCACUACAUCUAUUCCCUCCCACCAUACAACAUAAUUAACAUGGAUUGCGAAAGAACUCACCAUAACUAAACCAAAGUCCCAAAGAAAUAUCCCUAAAUAGAAAAUUGACAAUCAAUAACACAAAUGCUCAUUCUGUCUCUACCUCUUUCACUAUAAAAGCAAUGAUAACAAAGAAAUAUUGUAAAAUCAUCUAAACUUCAUGACCUACAACUUUUGUAUUCAAAGGAUAAACAAAGUUUUUUUUAUCUCCAUUUUUUUUAAUUUGACUUGUAAGGUGACAUACAUGAUCUGCCACCAGAACCUGACGGAACAUGACCCAUAAAUUCAAAACCUCAUAACUCUCUGCAUCUAACAAAAUUUUACAAAUAUAAACUCAUCGAAAAGAUUAUAACAUUCCCUAAAACAUUUAUUAUAAUGAGUGUCUCAGAAUUGGUUUCCAAACCGAUAAAACAAUGCAACUGCUUUGUUGCAAAACUGAUAGGUUAGAAACAAUGGACAACUAAAAUUCAAAAUACUAUAACUCCUGCUAUACUCAACUUAAAACUACAACGAACACGCGUUGGAAAAGUUUGGAAAUUGUCCACGACUUUUGCAAUAAAGUUCCACCCAAAUUUAUCUUUAUAGCCCUCAACUCUGCAUGACCUAUAGCUAAACUCAGCCUGAGAUACUGCACAUCAGAGAUUCGACUUAUAUCCGGACAACCACCUCUCCCAAUCUAUUUAACAGACAAUUACAAGUAAAUACCCAUUAAAAGGUACUAAGAAAAACUAAAGAGAAUUCCCAAAUUUGGGCUCUGAAACUAUCAAAACGCGGUCGAUUUAUUAGUGGUUUUAACGACACCUAAAGUUCAGACACAACGGUGCAACAACUUCAGAGUAGCCUAACUCCAAUUAUAUGCAAUGAAAAUUACAAACCAAUACUCUUUGGGAAGAUCAUGAAAUUACUAAAACUUUCAUAAUCCAACAAAACCCAAAAUUUACCGUAUUCAACAUCUAUACUUUCGUACAAAAUUAAGGCUGCUAUAGGAAACCCAUAACUCUCAAAUGUUUAGACCAAACUGGGUGAUUGAGCAUCCUAUGCAAAGAUGAAGAAACCUACUACAAAACAUUCUAGAUAAGUGAAGCCUGAUUCAGCCUCCAACUAAUUUAAAAUGACUCCCAAAACAAAACAACACCUUACCCAUAAUAAAAAAACAAUAUAAAAUAAAACCCAAGGCAUUGGCAAGUGCGACGAACAGUAGGAUUUUCCACUACCAAAUGGGGAUGCAACUCCCCAAAGCCUUUAAGCAACACUUUACCUAAUAGGUUAGAACACUAAGCACCACAAUCAACGAAUUCAACAACCUCAUUUGUUAAUGCCACUAAGGUCAAACAUCCAUGUAUCGAUAAUGUAUGAAACACCUGACAUACCCGUCUCUAGCACUAUAAAACAUGGUUGUUAUUACACUAGAAUCCAACUAUUAGAGCUCUCCACAACUAUUCUGUUGACGUGAAGCAAAUGAUGCUCAUGUCAUGUAACGUCUUUUCCUCCUCUCAAAAGAGAUAAAAUUUGCAAUACUCAUAAAGCAAUGGAGGGAUAAUAAGAAAAACUAAUGUACUUCUUGACACAGACUCAUGCAAAAGCUUCAUAAAUAUUACUUUCAAUACUAAAAUAAUAACACGAUACUAUGCUCAACAGGAGUAAUUGGACGUCAAUAAGACAAUCCACAUAACCAAACUACCUUGAUUAACCUCACAUACAACAAAACCUACUAUUACUGCACUUGAACAAUUUGUACUUCGUGAUAUCACAGGAUGCAUUCAAAGUAGUAGACAUACAUGAUCUAUCAAACCAUCAUUCAUAUAAGAAAAAUCUCAAUCCGAUGCAACAACCCCAUCAUUAAAGAGAUCGAUGACUAACAAACAUAAGCAACUCCCAGUUAAGCAUUGACUUCGUUUAAGAUAAAGCGGUCCAAAUAAUGAUUCAACAAGCAUGCAUAGGAAACUGCUCAUAAAAAAAUCAAACUGCCAUACAAUGUUGGCAAAUAAAAAAUAUAAAACGGGUUGUCAAUAUCGCCCACAUGACUAGCCUGCAACAACUAAAAAAAAUAUGCAUAGCCUUUAUGGCUAUUGAAACAAGCCAUAGAAGGAAAACAUGCACGACAUAAAAUCCACUUGAAACCACCCUAUUUAUUGUUAAAAAUAAGGUUGCACAUAAUAAGAAAACCUAUCAGGUAGACAUGGUUGGACUUAUCAAUCUACGUCAUCUCACAAAUUCACUCGAGUUCUACCAGUCUAAAGAUUUCAUAGACAUUACAACGUUGCAUCUGCUCUAUAGAGACAAACCAAUUUUAUACUAAGAUCAAGUUAGCAAGCAGCCACACUAGCCAAAAAAAAGGUGAGGUGUAAAGCACUGCACCCAUGGAAAUAUUACAUUGAUAAGUUGGGUUGUAACCCAACAGUCAAUCCAACUCAACAACACCAUAAAACUUCAUUGUAUAGUGUUUUCACACUACACCAAGUCGGAUUAGAUCCUCUAUACACAAGCUCAAUAAACAAUCGGUCCUACAAGUACUAGAACCCAAGAAUCCUUUUGGGAAAAAAACAUCCACAGUCAAGCAUAUAGAAAUAUAUGAUGGUAAUAGCUCAGAGAUUAGUAAACAUUGCAUCCCAAAAACAUCAUGAUGAUAUGUAUAUAAAACAAGUACAUUAGUAGCUUCACUCGCAUAAUAAUUUUAAUAACAACCACAUCAAGAAACCAAUAUUAAAUAGAAGUAACAUUUCAUAUCAAGCAUUACGUCGUUAACGACAUACCUCAUCAAACCAUAAAGGGGUUUGGAGUAAGGAAAUUCUAGUCAUCUAUACAAUAAAAUACUAAUAUGAAAGAUAUAUGAACCCAUACCCUUCCUAUAUGUGCAAGUGUGUCAAAUUUAUCUUCAAAUUGCGUAGAAUCUAAAGCCUAUGCUUUGAUACCAACUGUAACACCCCGGGGUCCACCAACACCCCGGAAUGCUACUAAACAACACUUCUGACAUCUAUAUAUAAAAUUUCGGCAGCAUCCCCCUUGCAAAAUUGCAUAAAUGAGGGGGCAACAGUGUAUAAACAUAUAUCAUGACAAAACAUACUAAGUAUUAUUAAUCAGCUAGCAAAGAGAAGUUAAACAUACGACAUGAAGCGAAUUAACUAGUGCACACGACUAGUUAAAAAAAACAAACUUCCUUUGACAAUAAGUUUCUAAUUAAAUCAUGGCUGCGCAUGGGCAGCGUUAUUGUGAGAGUGAAAGUGGGCGUGCUGCUACUCCCCUCAUUCCCAACAUGUAUCAAGUACCUGCAUUGAGUAAUGCAAGAGUGAGAUGACACAUCUCAGCAAGUAAAAUAAUAUCAAACUGUUUAACCACAUAAGAACAUUGUUUUACCACCACUUGAUUCCACAACCUUCUUAUUACGAAGGUGCAGCACGUAUACAACGUACAACACACCUAGUCACCACACCUCGCAGGUAGAAACCACAAUAGUAACAUAGUAAUGUCACACUUCAUAUAUACCUCAUGAGUGCAAAUGUCUGCAAAUGCAAGGAUGACUUCUGCCUUCAUACCUCUAAGGAUAUGAAGCCGCAUCGUACCCCUCAUCGGGCAACGUACGAUGCUAAAAAUGUACCGGUACGGUCGGACCAUAAGAUCACGACAUAACUUCAAAAUGCAAGAGAUGCGAUGUGCAUGUCAUGCCUACAACACUUCAUAUAACAUGAUUCAAAAAGACACUUCAACUUCAUCCAGAUGGGAAUCAACCACAUAUAUCAUUACCAAAUUAUGAUCAUCCACAAUAUUAGACAAUUGAGAAUUAAUACUUCCCAACAAAUAAACUUCAUCAUAGAAUUCAAUGAUUAACGUAAUUAAAACUUAUGCAUACUCAAUGACAGGGAAUAGGAUGCAAACCAAACGGUAGCAACCACCACUGUAUUUACUUGCCUUUACCGGAAGUUCGGGCAAAUCCCAAGUACGAUCCGGAAGCCCACCACCUGUUUUUGACACCCAACUUAGUACACCAAUUUCACAUAAUCAGGCUCAUAAGCGAUGCCGCACCUACGCACAAACUCAAACCCGCCGCGGGUUACAUCUCUCCCUACACCCACCAAACUGCAGCGGCGCUGCUUAAUAAUUUCAUAACUUUAAAAUUAUGACAGCAGUGGUAACAAACAAAAACUCCAGAGGCAUCUACAUAAAAUUCCCCACAAGUUUUGUAUACAAUUUAUAAUUAAAUUCCAAUAUCUAAUUAGCCCAAAACAGUCCACAAGAUGAACUCUGUAAUCUGUUUUUUUCUUUGUCUUUUGGACAGCGACAUACCCAGAUUCAAACAGCGAUAUCUUUUAAAAUAUAAUUCCAAAUCAAGCGCAUAAGUACUCAUUGGAAAGAUAAGACAAAUCCCUACAUGAUUACCAUACUGGUUAACACUAAUUACCCACGAAAAAUUCCCAGAAACUGCUAAUACCACUGCUGUUCACCCACCUGAAAAAUCUGUUUUUUUGGACAGCAACAUAACCGGAUUCAAACAACGAUAUCUCCUGAAUUAUAACUCCGAAUCGAGCGCAUAAGUACUUGUUGGAAAGAUAACAUAAAGCCCUACAUGAUUCUCAUACUGAUUAACACUAAUUACUCCCGAAAAAUCUCCAGAAACUGCUAAUACUGCUGCUGUUCAUCCCCCUGAAAAAUCUGUUUUUUUGGACAGCCACAUACCCGGAUUCAAACGGUGAUAACUUUCAAUUUAUAACUCCAAAUUGAGCGCAAAAUACUCGUUGGAAAGGUAAGGUAAAGUUCUACAUGAUCCCCAAACUGAUUUCCCUUAAUUCCUCACGAAAAAAACACAGAAACUGCUAGACUACUGCUGUUCACCCACCACCUAAAAUUCUGGACAGCCCCCCUCUACCCCAAUCGCAAACGCAACCUCUAAUCAAUUAAAUUGCAGCGCAAAUGAACAAGGGAUGAACACAAAAAUCACCUUGGAUUCUCCCCCUUUCCUUCCUCCCUUCUUCCCUCCACCAAAACGAUUGAAGACUCGCACCACGACGAUGAUGAUCCGAGCGGCAAGGAUUGGCACCUUGGGAGGAGGGAAUUGAGAGGGGGGCGGCUAGGGUUUGGUGGCUGCAAGAAUUGAGAGAGGAGGAGAUGGGCAGGGGGGCGGCCAAGGGGGAAGAGAA